rnacentral:rRNA from 1 species
UACGUAGGGUCCGAGCGUUGUCCGGAAUUACUGGGCGUAAAGAGCUCGUAGGUGGUUUGUCGCGUUGUUCGUGAAAACUCACAGCUUAACUGUGGGCGUGCGGGCGAUACGGGCAGACUGGAGUACUGCAGGGGAGACUGGAAUUCCUGGUGUAGCGGUGGAAUGCGUAGAUAUCGAGAGGAACACCUGCGGCGAAGGCGGGUUGCUGGGCUGAUACUGACGCUGAGGCGCGAAAGCCAGGGGAGCGAACGGG